rnacentral:lncRNA from 1 species
CAAUUCCAUAAAAGUGAUUUGAGUCGUUUGAUUUGUGAAUUCGCUGUUUUAAUCAUUCGUUCAGCAAACACUUUGAGGCUCCUACCAGCUGGAAUGUAUCAGAGCCUGGCUAACAAGUAUAGUGGAUGUUGUGCUCCUUCUUCCCCAAGAUUGACGUAUUCGUUGCCACAGCUGCAAGAGUGAUGAUUUGUGGAGCAUGUAAUGCCUCUCGGUAUGGAGCUGUUUCUAAUUGUAAGGUGCUUGAAUACAAGAAUUCAAGAUGGGCAGAUUGACUGUUCACCAACUAGUCUGAAAGGUGGUCAGAGGCUGAGAAGUGAAACUAAGGGUAAGUGUUGUUAACAGAUGACCAGUUGCAGAUAGGGGACGCAAUUCAGCCCAUAACAAACCCCAAGAGGUUUAGUCAAUGAACUUAGAAUGUGGGAUAUGGAGAUAUUAUCACUUCUCAGUAUUUUAAGAUGGUAACUGUUCCUCAUAAGUAGGGCUAGAAAUAUAAUUCUGUUAGGUCAUUGCUUAAUUGAAUUCUAGUUUUUCUUUUCCUAUCCAGAGUGGGCGGUGAUUGGAAAAAUCUUACCAUCAACACCAGGAGGUGUUUGAAGAUGGUAGUGUUGGAAAUGUUUGGUCUCUUAAAGAGAAUGAUUAAGUGAUCUACAAUUAAAAGUAAAAGAUGUAUGGUAAUUUUAAAAGUAAAAGGCAGACAUUUGUUUUCUUUUAUCCCAAGUUUAUUAAUAGUUUUACUAUUUAGAAAUAUUUUUAUAUUUUAUGGAAUCUAGCUGCUAUUGAUUUUAAGAGGUUUCUAAGAAAAUGCCGCCACUUAUAAUUGUAAAACACAAAUAAUUGUAAAAUGCUUCCUUUGUUUUUAAAGUUUGACACCUGAGCUAACAUCUGUUGCCAAUCUUCUUUUCUUCUUCUCCUUCUUCAUCUCGCCAAUAUACUCCAGGACAUAGUUGUAUACUCUAGUUGUAGAUCCUUCUGGUUCUGCUAUGUGGUACACUGCCUUAGGGUGGCUUGAUGAAUGGUGCUACGUCUGUACCCAGGAGCUGAACCGGCUACACCCUGGGCCGCCAAAAAGGAACACGUGAACUUAACCACUUGGCCACAGGCCGGCCCCUAUAAAAUGCUUCCUCAUAUCAAAGAUGAUAAACUGUGGAAAAAUGUGAAUUAUAAAGUAUUAUACGAGUUUCUAAGUCACCAGGCCUUGGAUAUGAACUUGCAUGUUUUAGGGGGCUGCAAGAGAAAGUGUUGCUUUUCUGUUUAUGUUUGAUGCAGCCCACUCUAUUAUCUUCCAGGAACAAUGCAAAAAGCACUCAUUCUUCCUUCUUUAGAAAGUAAAAAAUAUUACAUGGAAAUUCUCUUUUUUCACUAAAAAAUGCCUGUCUUCUCAAUUUUGAAUGAAAUUCUAGGUUCUGAGGAUAUAAUCUCAUGGUAAAUGAGGAAGAAAGCUAUUAUCACCUUACACAUGCCUCACAUAGACUAUGAUUUUCACAAAGCUACGCAAAAGUAUACACUGUCCUACUAAGAAGAAUGAAUGCUCAUGACAUCCAGGUCCUUGUGUUUUGAAUAGGGAAGCUGAGCCCAUCUCCACAUCUCAUAUAUGGCCCUGUACUAAGUGUAAGACAGACAGACAAUCCAGGCAUUCACAAAAUUUUAGCGACCCUUGAGAGGUGAACGUUGGCAUGAGUCAAAUUUUUCUAUUAAACCUAGAUUUUAAGAUAAUCUUGGGUAAAUGAGUUUAUAAUAAAAUUUAUACUUAAAGGUUCAUAGGGAUUGUUAUAAGAGACAGUUUUUAACUAAGGAAUGCUCCAGGAGGUCUGGAGGGUAGAUAAAUUUUGGAAAUUCACAGACUUUGAAUACUGUAUUAGUUUCUUAGGGCUGCCAUAACAAAGUAACACAGACUCGGCAGCUUACACAUCAUAAAUUUAUUUUCUCAUUAUUGUGAAGGCUGGAAGUCCGGGAUUAAGGUGCCCACAGUUGGUUUCUUCUGAGGGCCUCUCUCUUUGGCUUGUAGAUGCUCGUCUUCUCUCAAUGUGCUUUCACAUGGUCUUCCCUAUGUGCUCGUCUGUUUCCUAAUCCCCUCUUCUUAUAAGGACACCAACACCAUAUGACCUCAUUUUACCUUGACUCUUUCUUUUAUUGAAGUAUAAUUGAUAUAUAACAUUAUAUUAGUUUCAGCUUACAACAUAAUGAUUCAAUGUUUGUGCACACUGUGAAAUGAUCACCACAAUAAGUCUAGUUACCAUCCAUCACUGUAUAAAGUUACAGGAUUUUUUUCUUGUGAUGAGAACUUUUAAGAUUUACUGUCUUAGCAAGUCUGAAAUAUGAAAUACAGUUUUAUUAACUAUAGUUACCACACUGUACAUUACAUCUCCAUGACUUAUUUAUUUUAUAACCAGAAGUUUGUACCUCUUGACCUCUUCACCCAUUUUGCUCACCCCCCAGUGACUCUUCCCUCUGGGAAAUGAAACAAAACGAAACUUACAGAGAAGAGAUUGAUGGGUUAAUUGACUCUUUAAAGGCGCUAUCUCCAAAUACAGUCACAUUUUAGGUACUUGCGAUUAGAUUUCAAUAUACGAAUUUUGAGAGGGGCAUAAUACAGCCCAUAAGAAACCCCAAAGGCUUUAGUCCUAAAUGAAUUUAGAAUUACAGAGCUCACAGCAAUUACACAGCUAGUAAUUUCAUCACCAUGGUCCUGGCCCCUGAUACUGUGAGUUCAGCAAUUAUGACAUCGCCUCUUACGUUUGAUAUAAUGUCACAGCUUUUGAGCCAGGUAUUCUGAGCUUAGAGAUGGGGGGACCUGAAGUUGGGUUUAACACUCUGGAAGGCUAUUCUAGGAAUUCGCAGGUAUCUUCCAUAGUAAUCAAAUAGCAACACGUAGGGAUAUAGAAUAUAUUAUUCUACUCUGCCCUCUAGACUCUGGGGGCUAAAUUUACGACUGCACCAAGAGAAUUGGUAGUAGCAACGUGGACACAGAUGUAAAAUUAUAUCAAUUCAACGUAGCAUAAAUAUAUUGUUUGUUCCUUUCCACUAGAUGUUCAACUCAGAUGAAAGCAGUUGCCUAGUUGCUUGAUUUCAAAAGGACAGUUGCUCAAUAAAUUCAUAGAAAAGAAAGUGUGGAAGAUCUAAGUGAAUGAAUAACAAAAUAAAUAAUUUGGAGCUCUGAAAAUGUUUCCUUAGACGUACAUUUAAAAUUUCUCUUUCUGAAUUUGGAUGCCUAAACAGUGGUAAAAUACUUAAUUUUUUUUUUUAAAGACACUUAGUAAAGGAGGUAAUAUUCUUAGGAACCAGCAAAGUCCUGAUUGCCAUUAAUCAGCUUUAUAGCAGUCUACAAGAAUUAGAGGAAUACAUUAAAGCAUGAAUAUAUUAGUAGCAAUUCCACACUUUGCUAGAUUUCCUUUAAAACUCUGAACGGUAAUGUUGAUAUCAAAGAUCUUCCUUGAAUUGCAAAACUCUCUCUUUCUGAGUUAUUGUUUCUUGAUACAUUUAAGUCAGAACAGGUCUGCCAUAUUUAUCCUAUUUCAUCAGUUUUUUUUAAAUACCCCAGAAAAGUAUAAGAAUUCCUAGAAAAUAGAGCUGUCAUCCUUCAUUUUUGCUCGAAAUCUUAAUUUACCUUUCUGUUAGUAUCCCUGAUGAGAGACUGAUCUUGUGUUUACUAUUUUGUUAGCUUCUGACACUUCAGUGCUGCUGUCAAUGGGACAUUCAGAUGAGAUAGAAGUUGAAAGACUAAGCAGUAUUGGCCUUUUUUUUAAACAUAACUGUAGUGUUGUUUCAUCAUCAGGCUUUCCCACUUUAGAAGCUUUCUUUAUUCAUAGCUUAAAAUUAUAUAAUUACUCUGUUUCCCUGAAGAAAAGAAAUAAGAUAAAAUAGAGGCUUUGGGGAGAUUUAAUUAAAAGGAAAUUUUAAGGAGCUCAGCUCGGUAGGAUGUAACAUCCCAAAGACAAUUGGGUUUUAAAUAUAAAAUCAUGAUCCCAGCUAUGAUCAGAGAAUGUUAUAACUAGAAGAGAUUGAUGAAGCAAUUUGCUACAUACCAUGAAAAAACUGAAGUCUAGAGAAAUUAAUAGCUUAUCCAAUUACACCACAAGUUAGUCUCAGAACCUGAGUUAAAUGCAAGUUUUCUGAAUCCUAAUAGAAGGGGGAGAAAACAGGAUCCCAAACAUGGUUUAAAUCAAACCUCAAUUACUCAGAAUAUAACGUUGUCUAUGCCCCCAUGACUGUGGGACCAGUUCUAUAGCACAUCUGUAAUACAAUAAUAGCAUCACAGCUGAAUCAGCAUUGUGGGCCUGGCACACUAUUACUAAGUUGUAGAUAAUUCCAGUUGUAAGUGGUUUGAAUACAAAAAUAUUUUAUUUCGUUUAAAAAUAUCAGGAUAUUAUCUAGAGGGUGUGAAUAUGUGUUUUGAUGUAAUCCAGAUAAAAAGAUAUGUGAAAUAUUAAAUUACAAAGCUCUUAACUACUCCUAUUUCAGAGUGUUGUUUAAAAAAUUCAUUUGUAGGGGCCGGCCGGUGGAGCAGCAGUUAAGUUUGCACGUUCGGCUUCUCGGCGGCUUGGGGUUCGGAUCCCUGGUGCAGACAUGGCACCGCUUGCCAAAAGCCAUCCUGUGGUAGGUGUCCCACGUAUAAAGCAGAGGAAGAUGGGCAUGGAUGUUAGCUCAAGGCCAGUCUUCCUCAGCAAAAGGAGGAGGAUUGGCAGUAGUUAGCUCAGGGCUAAUCCUCCUAAAAAAAAAACCAAAAAUUCGCUUGUAAAUAUAAUCUCUCAAAAGGUACAAGGACUGCUUUCCCCAUUUAUUUUUGAUCUGUCUUUGCUGUAUAGUUUACAUGUAAUAAAGUGAAUUGACAAUUGCUCCUAUGUGAAAUCAUGCAAGUAAACUCAAAAUCAGGAUGUAAAAACAUUGCUAAAAAUAUAUUCUCUGAUAUAUAUUAAUAGCUCAUUUAUCUUUUGCAACUGGAUCAAGAAGGUAUUUGCUCUGCUCUAUAACUCUGGAAAUACCACCCCAUCCCUGCCAAAUAACCUGAAAAGGCAUUCCUAAGUAGUCCUUUCUGACAGAACAAACAGACAUAUAGUUGUUUCCUACGUGUUUAGUGAAUGGAAGAUAAAGAACAAAUGAAUAUGUGAAAAGAGUGUGAAUAAAUAAACAAGGAUAAAUAAAGGCUAUAGGAGAGUGAAGAUUAUUAGUUUAGAGGAUGUCAUAUAUAGAGAGCUAUCUUUUUAUCAACUAUGAAUCACUUAAAAGGUAGACCUUUGAUAGAGAUGAAACAACGGCCUGUAUUAAUAAUAAAGCUCAUACUUAUAUUAGGAAUUGCACCUUAAGAGUGUGGUCAUAGUAUGUCUCUUGAUUCUAAACCCAAGAUUUUUGCAGAAUAAAGAACCAGACACAGGUUACAAUAGAAAACCCCAGGCCUCACCAUUUUGGGAUACUUACGUAAAACUGACAGUAUAAGGCAACAGAGCUGAUCAGAUGAGAACUGCUGGCUCUGGCUGAGAAGCUAGGCUUCAAAAAGAAGGGAAGGGGAAGGAGGAUGUGCACAGGCUAAUUUCUGCUCCCAAAGACGCUAUCGGAAUUCACCAGAAAGGAUGAAGUGAGUGAGCACAGGGACAGGACAGAAUUAUAACUGAUUGAGGUCUCUUGACACAGAAACAAGAGGCAGAGUGUGAUUUCCUUCUGAGAGAGAGAGACUAGUUGCAAGAAAAGGGCCUGUAAUAAGUCUGAGUUAAAAACAGCCUGGGUUCCUACAGGAUCUAACUCAGAAACUUGUUGAUUCAUUUAAAGACCAACUUAUAACAGGAUUUCAUCACCAUCUCUGAUGUUACUCUCCUAAUAUUUUUUGUAUUUUAGUAGAGAAUUAGUAUGGACUGAAGACACUUCAAGUUUUGAAGGAGUUCAAUUCUAAAGAGGAGAUGAUUACAGUCUUGGAAAUAGUACUCAGCUCCCAUCAAAAAAAUGAAAAAUUUAAAAACUGAAAAAAUAGAGACAAAAAAUAUGUAUUAGAAAAUAAAUUCAUUUAUAUUUCCAAACUUCUAGUCAUAUCACUAAUUAAGUAUUAUUUUGUGUAUUUCCAGUUUUUUUCUCUAAGAAUACACAGCUUGUAUCCAUCAAAAUGUUACACAUACAUUCAAAAUCUUAUACAUAUAUAUAACUAUAUGCACAUAUAAGUAUAUAGAUAAUUAUAUAUAACUACAACUAUAUAUAGAUAUGUAUGCAGACAUGUUUUAUUAUCUUGACAAUGACCUAGGCCUAUAUUCUAUUCUUACUUGGUAUGUCUUGGAACCCUAAGAAGGUAAAAGCCAUAAUCAUCAGGAAAUAUUAUUUAUUUAUUUAUUUUUGGCAAGGAAGAUUGACCCUGAGCUAACAUCUGUUGCCAAUCCUCUUUUUGUUUGAGGAAGAUUGUCUCUGAGCUAACAUCUGUGCCAACCUUCCUCCAUUUUGUAUGUGGGAUGUUGCCACAGUGUGGUUCGACGAGCAGUGUGUAGGUCCGUGCCCAUGAAACCUGGGCUACUGAAACAGAGUGCAGAAACUUAACCACUACGCCACUAGGCUGGCUGCAGGUAACAUUUAUUUUUAAUUCGACAUUGCAGAAGUCUGUAAUACACAAUGACGAGGAUAAGAAAAAAUAUAAAUGACAAUUGUUGCUCUGAAAGAGUUUAUAAUUUAAAGGGAGAGAUCAAAAGUAUAUCUGAAAACAAAAAUAGGAUGUAGUUAAUGUCAAAUGAGAGACAAAAAAAAGCAUAAAGAAUUUAGAAGGAAAUAACAUGUCCUAUGGUCCAGGAUGGUCUCGUAAGGCUUCACAGAAGAGGCAGAGUUUAAGCUCAGUCCUGAAGGAUUAUUAUGAUUAAAGUAAGUGAAGAGGAUAGUAGAGAGAAUCCAAAUAAGACAGACUGAUAUAAGUACAGACUAAUUUUCUCUUUGGGGUAAACAUUUAGUAGACCUGGUUGAUUAGAAGAGAGAAAGAGAGAGAAGGUAACGAAGAAUAACAUAUAAUAUGUUAUAGCCAUCCAUCUAUCCAUACAUCUACCUACCAACCAUAGAGAUGGAGAAUGAGGUGAGAGGCAGAGCUUGGAUUUGAACUACAGUUGCUGUUGCAUUCAAAGUUAUGCUUUUUAAAAGAAUUAUAAGAAGUUUGCAAUAUGUGUUUGCAUGAGGUGAGUUGGAGAUGUAAAGAUACAUUCAGUUUCUUUAUAACUCUUUCCAAAAGACUAACGAUGGAUUUAAUAGGUGUAGGUCAAGGAAGCAAUUCUGAAGAAAGACAGAAGAGAGAGAUGUGAGCCCUCAUGUAUGUUGACAUAUGUAUGUGUGUUUGUGUAUGUGUACAAAAGAGGAAAAGGUCAUUCGGCCAUUAAGUUAAUAGCAUCCAUCUCAAAAGAAUGAAUGAAUUAUCCUCUUCAGCACUGUAUUUGCUCUAUGAUUUGCACAAGGUUUCUUCUGUUCCAUUAGUCCUUUGAAAUGAUGGUCACCAAGGAGAUCAAUAAGAUGGGAAGAAAGAGAGUAUAAAUGAAUGUGUGAACAAUCUUCACUAUAACACAAGCAGCUCCCAAGACACUUCAUGCUGGGAGCAGAUGGGGUAAGUUAGGCAGAAGCCGUACACGUGUUCAAAUUUUCAGAGUAUCAUUUGGUUUCAGAGAGUCCUUUACAAGGUCACAUAAGUACUCUGAGCCCAAGUAGGGACAUCCGUUAAACUGCGUAAAAACUGAGUAAAAAUGUAAUUAGGCUAUAUGUGUAAGUACCCAGCAUAUAGUAGUUAAAAGUUGAUUAAUUUUGGAAAAAAAGGUCUUAUCUUUGUAUAUAAAAAAACAAUGAUAUAUUUUUGUUUAGCUGAAUCUACAUGAUGAUUGAGAUAUGCAGAUGGAUAGAUUGUGGGAAGAAAAAAGAUGAGCGAGUACAGGUUUAUUCAUAUUCACAGAUUAAAAUAAGAACAAGAAAUGCACGUGUUUGAUUAUGAUUUAAACCAUUAAUGCAACUUAAGAGUGCAGAGAAUAGUACAUUAGCUCUCUGUUUUAGAUAUCUAGUUCUAUUUCUGCUCUGACGGGUUGAAAUCCUCCUAUUCCACUCCUACAAAAGCAAUCAUAAUACAUUAAAUUAAAUAUCACUUUAAAGGUGUUAUAUGGGAGGACAAAAUGAAGUUGAAAAAUAUAUCAAAUCUCCCAACUCCUUACUAUGCCGCAAAUCAAAGGAGGAAAUAGAAUCUGCUCAGAUGAAAAAAGUAGAUCCUAGUGGUAACCUACAUACCCAGACUUCUUCAUUUUCCUUUGCCAUAUGUUAAAAAAUAAUUCGAAUCCUCACAUGUAUCUCCAGUUUAUGUUUUGUGUAAAUCAGUUUUAGUGAUAUGUGGGAUGACCAGCCAUUGCGAUGUUAUCAAGUUAUAUGCAGUUUUGAGAUUGACAUCUGACUGUCACGGAAAAGAUAAGUAAUUUCAAAAUUGCUGAAUACAGUAUGAACAUGGUCAAAGACAGCAGAGAUGCAAUUCAUCUCAGCACUGGUGACUUCAUGAGGUGCAAUCCACAGCUAAACAAAUUCACAUUGAUCCAAAAGUGUUUUACCAGCACUCAGCAAUGCUGGCAAUCUAAUUCAGCUCAAAAUUCCAUUAAAAGUCGACUUGAUUGAUCAAAAUGUUUUUAAAGCCUAUUUUUUUCUUUGCUUUUUUUUAAUGGUUUAGCAGUUUGGGAUGUUCGAGGUUUUCCAAAAGAGUUAACUAAAUUAAUUUACACGUGAGUUAGUAUUCAUUGAUGAAAUAAUCAUAAAAAAAUGAAUAACAUAAUAUUUAAAAGCUCUGAAAUAAUAGUGUUACCCGCUAGAUUUUUUUUUAAAUAAGCAAUUAAUAUAAGAUGUAAUUAAAAUUAACACAAUGAAGGGUUGGUGAAUUUCAAACAAUAUACUGUAUUAGGGACUAUCUGCUCAGCUUAUAUUUGAUAGAAGAAACAGUACAGUAGUCUUUGGUUUUCUUGGGAAACUCACUAUUAUUUUUUUUAAGCCCUUCUUUGAUAUUUUAUUACAAGCAUAGCAAAAAUCAAAGUUCUUUCCUUUUCAGGUGAACAAUAUGGAACAGAGAUACAGCAGAGUGAGGCCUUAAGGCAUUCUUGGGAGAUUUUGUUUAUUAGUCCUGCACUGAUGUAUUAAACUUAAGACUAACUUGAGUGUGAGAAAAUAUUUUUGAGGUUUUCUCAAAAUUAAUUUUUCUCCUCUGGAUUCUUGAGAUAAUCUGAUGGUUUGAUUAAACAAGCUGAUGAGCUCAUACUUCCACUUAUAGUGUCUGAGAUUCAAAUUUCUAUCACAAAUUGGUGUGAAAUCACAAUUUUUUUUUGUUGUUUUUGUGUGUCUGGUUUUGUUUUUAAGGUGUCCCCACCCCCUUGCUCAUGUUUUUGGUCGUUUUUAGUUCCUCUUUGGUUUGGAAGAUUUUGCUUCUCUUUUUUCUUAAGGGAAAAUAUUUACAAUGGUUUGUGUGUCCAUACUCGAUCACAGAGAACAGGCAGUUUUGAGAAACCAUGCUAUUCUUACUUUUAGCUUUCUUAAUGUCAACUUGAUUCUAGUUUCCAUCGGAAUUCCAUUUUGGAAAGAACAAGAAAAACCCUGUGUUUUCUUUUGUUUUAAUUAAAAUAUAUUUGACAUGAAACAUUGUGUUAACUUAAGGUGUAAAACAUGUUAUUUGAUACACUUAUGUACUGUAAUAUGAUUACCAUUGUAGUGACAACUAGCACGUCUAUCCCAUUAUGUAAUUAUCCUUUCCUUUUAGUGGUUGUAAUAGUUAAGUUCUAGUCUUUUAGCAAGUUUGAUGAUUACAAUAUAAUAUUGUUGUCUCUAUUCACUAUGCUGUGCAUUAGAUCUCUAAGACAUAUUUACUACUCAUUGCAAAUUGUACCCUUAAACAUCCUCUGCCCCAUCCGCUCACCACCUCCCCGCCCUGAUAACGACCAUUUUACUCUCUGUUUUUACAUGCUUGGCUUUUUGAGAUUCCACAUGUAAAUGAUACCAUGCACUCCUUGUCUUUCUCUGUCUGGCUUAUCUCAAGACUGUUUUCUGAAGAUCAAUGCUUUGAGAAAGAUUUUAAAUGCUUUCACAUCAGAGGGGGAAAUACCAAAAGGAUUUUCUCGUUAUCUAGUAUAAAUUAAUGAGAAAUUCAAUAAAUUUCUUUCCCCUUGAAGACUCCCUUCACUCCUGCUCCUGAAAAAUCACUUUUUUUUCCUCUGUAAGAAGCAUUUUUUUUUUUCCCCAGAGCCUUUCUGAUAUGGGAGAUUAAUAUUUCAUUAUAUAAUUAUAAACACCUGCCUGGGCAGAUGCUUUUCUGUCCCUUGUUAACAUGACUCUUGGGUUAGCCUCUCUGGAAAAGCAGCUUUUAACAAGGAAAUGGCACACGAUGAUGGGAUGUAAAUGCACAAACACCACUCAAAUUAAAGUUCUUGUCAGAAAUAUUUAGAGAGAAAAUGCAUUUCUCUCUCUACUUUAUGCAGUCCCUUUAUUAUCCCAAGUGCUUUUAUGUGUAAGGCUUCAGGAGUCUUUGUCUUUGGUUUACUGCUAUUCUGUCAGGGGAAGAAGUAAUUACAGUCCACUUCAUCUACAAUGGGGAAGUGCAAAUACAUUUCCAAGUGUGUGUCAAAAUCAAAAGCAAGCCCAGAUUUUUGUGGUGUUAAUGGCGUGGUGGUUAAAACUUCAAACACACCUGGGUUAAAUUCCUAAUAGUCCACGUAAUUGCUUUGUGAUCAUGAGCAAGACAGUUAACUGUAAUUUUCCUGUUCCUCAUUUAAAAAUGGAGAUGAUAAUAAUGUACUUGUCCUAGGAUCGUGGUGAGGAUUAAAGAAGAUAUGGCACAGCACAAGUACUAGCUGUUAUUAUCUAUUAUUGUUUUUAAUUCAGGUCUAUACUUUCAUAAUAGAAUAAACUAAUUACUGUUUCUACGUUCACGCUUCUUAAUACAUUCUCAGAUUCCUGCCAGUAGCCCCUGGAUGUGAGAUGCCUAUAUUUUUCCCCUUAAAUCUUUUUUUAUUUCUUACUCCCUUCCACACCCUGUUCUUCAAAGCUGCCUUAGAUUUUGCUUCUCAUUUUGAACUGGCAUUUCUUUUAUCCGUGGGGCCUGCUCUGAAGGACUACUCUUGUUUCUCCUCCCCUAAUGAGAGGUCCCUGGAAUAUCAAGAACAAUGGCCGCCAGGACUCCUUGCAGCUGCCUUCCACCUGUCUGACUGAACACAUUGAGAUCACCAUGCUGGUGACGGUGGCAGAGAUUCUUAUGCUCCCUGGUGAUCUGGUGUUAGUUGAUCACUGUGGGCAAGGAGACCACCUGAGCUCUUUCUUUUCACUUAACAAAAUUAAAAUGACAUGAAUUUCAUUCACAUGGAAAUAAUUUUUAUAUGUGUGAACAGCCACUCACUCAGAGGCCCCAACAUUGUUUUAAUAUGAUUCUUUUCCCCCAACUAUUGUUCCUUGAGCCUUUUUGUGGUAAUUUGCCAGUUCAGAAUAAAAUGGUGGAUCUAUUGAUGAACAAGUCAUGCUUUGUUUAAUAAUUUCAGAGCACACAUUAAGAGCUCAGGAAGAGUUUAUUCUUGUGGUUUGUCCCCAAGUACAACUGGUCAUGAAAUAAUAGCUCUGCUUUACUAGCUUGAUGACAUUCAUCAAGAAAUAGAGCCUAUACAAGCCUCAAUUUAAUAAUCCGUAAGUUACAAAUGAUAAUACUUAUUUGAUAGUAUCAUCUUAAGGAGAAAUGAAGAGAUUGCAUAUGGAAAAUCAUUAUACAUAGUAGGCAAUAUGCACUCUAUUUUCCAUUUUCCCUUUGAAAUGUAUUCCAACACCUUAUUCUGUUAUAAAGUAUAACACUCCUGCACUAUGACAGAGAAGGAUAAUACUCACCACGGAUGUAGAAAAAUCUCAAGAUUUAUAAUUAAAAUAAAAACAUAACGAGAGAGAGGAUUUUUUUCCUUUAUCUUGUUCGUCUCUUUUCUGAAACAUAACAUGGAGCAAUGAUAUUUGCUAUUCAGGGUUGUUAUGAGGCUGAGAAUAUAAAGUGCUUCAUAUAUCGGAAAGUAUCUUAUUAAAGUGUAAUUAUUGCCUGGAAAUUAUAGGAUUAUAUUGUAGUUACUUUUGACUACUAGUUACAAAAUAAAUAAAUAAAUAAGCUAAACGUUAAAGAUAAAGACUAGUUAUUUAAAGCAGUGGAAUGGAUCCCUAAAAUUCAGAUUGAAUUUCAGCACCCAGCUUUACAAAAAUACAAGCCACAGGAAGCAAUUUUGUACAUGUAAGUAGAGUGAACAACCAUAUGGCUUUGCGUGACUUCACUAUGAAUUCUAGGAUUCUAUUAUUCUCUUUUCUUUCUUCCUACUUCAGGUGCUGCUGACUGUUUUUUUAAUAUCUAAGUUUAUGCAUAAUGAAUUAAUCCAUAGGCUAUAUUAUGAGGUUAGCUUCAAAUCAAACACACAGUGAUAACUGCUUAUGGGCUGUACUCAAACACCACUGAAGGUAAGCAAAGCUCCAGACUCUUAGAUAAACACAAACAUUUGACUUUGAAUAACAUUUGAAAGAAGCCAUAGUCCUUUAGAUGGCCUACAAAGCCUCAUAGGAUCUUUCUCCUGCGCAUCUACCACCAUCACCACCUCUCUGACCUCAUCCCUUACUCCUCUGUCUGCCAUAAUCAUUCCACUCCAGCCACCCUGGCCUCUUUCCCCACACAUGUGAGUCGUGCCCUCUCCUUUGCUCUGCAUAUGCCCUCUGCCUUAGUGAUCUUCCUAAAAUACGCACAUGGCUAUCUCACUCACUGCCUUUGAGACUUGAUGCAAACUCUGCCAUCUGAGUGAGGCUCACCUUUGCUCCUUGUUUAAAUGGCAUGUCUUCAACUACCAAAAUUUAUGAUCUUUCUUCUCCAGCUGUUUUUCUUUUACCCACGACACUUGUCACCUGUCAGCAAGAACAUUUUUUUUUAUUUAUUGUCACUGUCUCCCAGUGAGAACGCAUGCUCUGUGAGAAACCUUUCCUUCGUUUUGUUUACUACUGUCUCCCAUGAACUGAGAAGAGUGCCUGGAAUGUUUUUACUGAAUGGAUUAGUGAAUAAAACAUGGAAAAUUAUUUCACUCAUAAGAGGAAGUUUUGGUUUCUUUGCUUUUUUGUCAUUGAUUCCAUAAUAUUUUUCUCCUCUGUCCUUUCCCUUUGUUUUGUUUUGUUUUGAGUUCAUGUGUUUUGGGUAUCCAUGAUUCUAGAUUUGGGAUAAAAAUAAUAAUACAUCUUCCUCUUUUAGGUAUUUCAUUACCUAUUAUUACUGCAGCCCUUUACCAUGAAAGAACAUCACCCACGUGUCUUAAGAGAAGUUUGAAAUCUGAAAUCUAUAAAGUUUCAGGACAUUUGUUAAGUCCAUAUUAAGAUACUUAUGGUAUCUUAAUACUCUAAUGUGAUGGUUAAUUUUAUGUUUCAACUUGACUGGGCUACCAGCUGCCCAGAUAUUUGGUCAAACAUUAUUCUGGUUGUUUCUGGGAGGGUGGUUUUGGAUGAGAUUAACAUUUAAAUCAGUGGACUGAGUAAAGCAGAUUGCUCUCUGAGGUGUGGAGGGGCCUCAUGCAAUCAGUUGAAGGCCUGAGUAGAACAAAAAGGCUGAUCUUCCUCCAAGGGAGAUUUUCUCCUGCUUGACUGCCUUUGAACUGGGACACCGGUUUUUUCCUGCUCUUGACCUCAAACUGAAACAUUGGCUCUUCCUGGUUUUCAAGCCUCCAGCCCUCACACUGGAACUAUCCCGUUGGCUCUCCUGGGUCUCCGGCUUGCCAAAUCACCCUGCAGAUCAUGGGCUCCGUCAGCCUCCAUAACCAUGUGAGCCAAUUCCCUGUAAUAAAUCUCUCUCUAUAUGUCUUCUCUCUGUUCUGUUUCUCUGGAGAGCCCUGACUAAUACACCUAAUAAUAUUCAAGAAACUGAUCAUGAAAGAGAAAAAGGAAAAGAAAAUAGCUUGCCUUAUAGCAUGUGAGAUUUAGGUUAGACUUAAGUGAAACCUUAAUUGACCCAGUUAGGAGUCUCUAGAUGAAUGAAGAGGGAUGAUUUUGAGACAAUAGCAGAACACAAAUUUAACAAAGUUUACCGCUCUCUGUGCAUUGAUUUAGGAAAUAGUUCAAAGUAGAGGGACCAAUCAUGUCACCUUGUGUGUAGUCACGUUCAGAAGAGCCCAUCUCACCACUUCCCCAUACAGACCAGCAUGGGAGCCACUGGAAAAGAAAGAGAAGGAACUGAAGGGUGCCAUUCCUCUGCUACAGAGGAGAAUGUGACCUAACUGAAGCCCUGCAAUCAGUUUGUAUUAGAGACGCAAUGUCUCACAGAUUCUGCACGAGAGUCAGGACUGCAAUUUGAUCUAAGAUAUUAAUAAAUCCUGUGGAGAAGAAUUCCAAAUAAUUUGUAUAGACACUUGCCGUCCAGGAAGUGGAGGCUAACUUCCCACUGCUUAGUGUGGGCUCACAUAGUGACUUCCUUCCUAAAGAGAGGAGUAGGGAAGACGCGACGAAGAGUAACGUUACAGCUGCGAAACUUGACAAACACUAUCUCAACCAGAUGAUCAAGGGCAACGUCAACAUUCAGACAUCCUGUUGAUAGUACGUAUCCUUGGUAGGAUGUGGUAAAAAUGGCACUUUACCUCUGUGGGUGUCUUCCCCCAAACUCACAACCACAGUGUGAUGACAAGAAAAAUGUCAGACAAGUUCCAAUCAAGGGACAUUCUGUAAAAUACCUCACCAGUACUCCUCCAAAGUGUCAAAGUCAUAAAACUCAAAGAAAAUCUGAGAAACGUUACAAUCAAAAGGAACCAAAGAGACAGGAUAACUAAAUGUACUAUGGUAUCCUGGUUGGGACCUGGAACAUAAAAAGGAUGUUGAUGAAUACAAGUUAAGUAGGGACUCUAGUUAAUAAUAAUGUAUUGGUAAUGGUUCAUUAGGAGUCACAAAUAUGUCAUAUUAAUAAGGGAAACUGGAUGUGGA